AAGUUAUUAGAUUAGUGGUAAAAUCAUAGUUCUUACACAACUAAAACAUAGGUUCAAUUCCUAUAUAACUUA
rnacentral:tRNA from 2 species